UUCGCAAUGCCCGAAAGGGUGACGAAGCGACGCCGCGUGCGGGAAGAAGGCCUUCGGGUUGUAAACCGCUGUCGGGAGUUAAGAAAUGUAAGGAUGUUAAUAGCAUCUUUGCUUGACUAAGGCUCCGGAGGAAGCCACGGCUAACUCUGUGCCAGCAGCCGCGGUAAUACAGAGGUGGCAAGCGUUGUUCGGAAUUAUUGGGCGUAAAGAGCACGUAGGCGGUUCUGCAAGUCGGCUGUGAAAGCCUUCCGCUCAACGGAAGAACAGCAGUUGAUACUACAGGACUCGAGUGCGGGAGGGGAGAGUGGAACUUCUGGUGGAGCGGUGAAAUGCGUAGAUAUCAGAAGGAACGCCGGCGGCGAAAGCGGCUCUCUGGCCCAUAACUGACGCUGAGUGUGCGAAAGCUAGGGGAGCAAACGGGAUUAGAUACCCCGGUAGUCCUAGCCGUAAACGAUGGGCACUAAGUAGAGGGGUUUU
rnacentral:rRNA from 1 species